CCGAYGCCUUAUCUUUCGYCGAACACCGCAUGCGGUGCUAG
rnacentral:rRNA from 1 species